ACAUUCUAUACGGAGUUACAAAGGAACGAGGUAGACGAAGCGACCUGGAAAGGUCCGUCGUAGAGGGUAACAACCCCGUAGUCGAAACUUCGUUCUCUCUUGAAUGUAUCCUGAGUACGGCGGAACACGUGAAAUUCCGUCGGAAUCUGGGAGGACCAUCUCCCAAGGCUAAAUACUCCCUAGUGAUCGAUAGUGAACCAGUACCGUGAGGGAAAGGUGAAAAGCACCCCGGAAGGGGAGUGAAAGAGAUCCUGAAACCGUGUGCCUACAAAUAGUCAGAGCCCGUUAACGGGUGAUGGCGUGCCUUUUGUAGAAUGAACCGGCGAGUUACGAUCCCGUGCGAGGUUAAGCUGAAGAGGCGGAGCCGCAGCGAAAGCGAGUCUGAAUAGGGCGUUUAGUACGUGGUCGUAGACCCGAAACCAGGUGAUCUACCCAUGUCCAGGGUGAAGUUCAGGUAACACUGAAUGGAGGCCCGAACCCACGCACGUUGAAAAGUGCGGGGAUGAGGUGUGGGUAGCGGAGAAAUUCCAAUCGAACCUGGAGAUAGCUGGUUCUCCCCGAAAUAGCUUUAGGGCUAGCCUUAAGUGUAAGAGUCUUGGAGGUAGAGCACUGAUUGGACUAGGGGUCCUCAUCGGAUUACCGAAUUCAGUCAAACUCCGAAUGCCAAUGACUUAUCCUUAGGAGUCAGACUGCGAGUGAUAAGAUCCGUAGUCAAAAGGGAAACAGCCCAGACCGCCAGCUAAGGUCCCAAAGUGUGUAUUAAGUGGAAAAGGAUGUGGAGUUGCUUAGACAACUAGGAUGUUGGCUUAGAAGCAGCCACCAUUUAAAGAGUGCGUAAUAGCUCACUAGUCGAGUGACUCUGCGCCGAAAAUGUACCGGGGCUAAAUACACCACCGAAGCUGCGGAUUGAUACCGAAUGGUAUCAGUGGUAGGGGAGCGUUCUAAGGACAGUGAAGUCAGACCGGAAGGACUGGUGGAGUGCUUAGAAGUGAGAAUGCCGGUAUGAGUAGCGAAAGACGGGUGAGAAUCCCGUCCACCGAAUGCCUAAGGUUUCCUGAGGAAGGCUCGUCCGCUCAGGGUUAGUCAGGACCUAAGCCGAGGCCGACAGGCGUAGGCGAUGGACAACAGGUUGAUAUUCCUGUACCACCUCUUUAUCGUUUGAGCAAUGGAGGGACGCAGAAGGAUAGAAGAAGCGUGCGAUUGGUUGUGCACGUCCAAGCAGUUAGGCUGAUAAGUAGGCAAAUCCGCUUAUCGUAAAGGCUGAGCUGUGAUGGGGAAGCUCCUUAUGGAGCGAAGUCUUUGAUUCCCCGCUGCCAAGAAAAGCUUCUAGCGAGAUAAAAGGUGCCUGUACCGCAAACCGACACAGGUAGGCGAGGAGAGAAUCCUAAGGUGUGCGAGAGAACUCUGGUUAAGGAACUCGGCAAAAUGACCCCGUAACUUCGGGAGAAGGGGUGCUUUCUUAACGGAAAGCCGCAGUGAAUAGGCCCAAGCGACUGUUUAGCAAAAACACAGCUCUCUGCGAAGCCGUAAGGCGAAGUAUAGGGGGUGACACCUGCCCGGUGCUGGAAGGUUAAGGAGAGGGGUUAGCGUAAGCGAAGCUCUGAACUGAAGCCCCAGUAAACGGCGGCCGUAACUAUAACGGUCCUAAGGUAGCGAAAUUCCUUGUCGGGUAAGUUCCGACCCGCACGAAAGGUGUAACGAUUUGGGCACUGUCUCAACCAGAGACUCGGUGAAAUUAUAGUACCUGUGAAGAUGCAGGUUACCCGCGACAGGACGGAAAGACCCCGUGGAGCUUUACUGUAGCCUGAUAUUGAAUUUUGGUACAGUUUGUACAGGAUAGGCGGGAGCCUUUGAAACCGGAGCGCUAGCUUCGGUGGAGGCGCUGGUGGGAUACCGCCCUGACUGUAUUGAAAUUCUAACCUACGGGUCUUAUCGACCCGGGAGACAGUGUCAGGUGGGCAGUUUGACUGGGGCGGUCGCCUCCUAAAGUGUAACGGAGGCGCCCAAAGGUUCCCUCAGAAUGGUUGGAAAUCAUUCGUAGAGUGCAAAGGCAUAAGGGAGCUUGACUGCGAGACCUACAAGUCGAGCAGGGACGAAAGUCGGGCUUAGUGAUCCGGUGGUUCCGCAUGGAAGGGCCAUCGCUCAACGGAUAAAAGCUACCCCGG
rnacentral:rRNA from 1 species